AACGAACGCUGGCGGCAUGCCUAACACAUGCAAGUCGAACGAGACCUUCGGGUCUAGUGGCGCACGGGUGCGUAACGCGUGGGAACCUGCCCUUAGGCUCGGAAUAACUCCCCGAAAGGGGUGCUAAUACCGGAUAAUGUCUUCGGACCAAAGAUUUAUCGCCUUUGGAUGGGCCCGAGUUGGAUUAGCUAGUUGGUAGGGUAAAAGCCUACCAAGGCGACGAUCCAUAGCUGGUCUGAGAGGAUGAUCAGCCACACUGGGACUGAGACACGGCCCAGACUCCUACGGGAGGCAGCAGUGGGGAAUAGUGGACAAUGGGCGAAAGGCUGAUCCAGCAAUGCCGCGUGAGUGAUGAAGGCCUUAGGGUUGUAAAGCUCUUUUACCCGGGAUGAUAAUGACAGUACCGGGAGAAUAAGCUCCGGCUAACUACGUG
rnacentral:rRNA from 1 species